AUACGGAGGGAGCAAGCGUUGUUCGGAAUUACUGGGCGUAAAGGGCGCGUAGGCGGUUCAGCAAGUCUUGUGUGAAAUCCCCCGGCUCAACUGGGGAACUGCAUAGGAAACUGUUGGACUUGAGUUCGGGAGAGGGAAGCGGAAUUCCGGGUGUAGCGGUGAAAUGCGUAGAUAUCCGGAGGAACACCGGUGGCGAAGGCGGCCAUCUGGACGGUGACUGACGCUCAGACCCGAAAGCGUGGGGAGCAAACAGGAUUAGAAACCCCUGUAGUCC
rnacentral:rRNA from 1 species